UGUGCAAGUGAUGAUAAAUAGACAGGGACAUCAGCACUCUUUAAAAGAAUGAUGAUUUGUCAAUGGGAAUCUCUCUGAUGCACA
rnacentral:snoRNA from 1 species